rnacentral:rRNA from 1 species
CCCGCACAAGCGGUGGAGCAUGUGGUUUAAUUCGAUGGUACGCGAGGAACCUUACCAGGGCUUGACAUGUGCCGGAAGCGCACCGAAAGGUGCGUGCCGCUUGCGGCCGGCGCACAGGUGCUGCAUGGCUGUCGUCAGCUCGUGCUGUGAAGUGUUGGGUUAAGUCCCGCAACGAGCGCAACCCUUGUCUUAUGUUGCCAGCACGUGAUGGUGGGGACUCAUGAGAGACUGCCGGGGUUAACUCGGAGGAAGGUGGGGAUGACGUCAAAUCAUCAUGCCCCUUAUGUCCAGGGCUUCACACAUGCUACAAUGGUCGGUACAACGCGUGUGCGACACUGUGAGGUGAAGCUAAUCGCUCUAAAGCCGGUCGUAGUUCGGAUUGGGGUCUGCAACUCGACCCCAUGAAGUCGGAGUCGCUAGUAAUCGCAGAUCAGCAACGCUGCGGUGAAUACGUUCCCGGGCCUU